AGAGUUUGAUCAUGGCUCAGAACGAACGCUGGCGGCAGGCUUAACACAUGCAAGUCGAACGCAUCCUUCGGGGUGAGUGGCAGACGGGUGAGUAACGCGUGGGAACGUGCCCUUCAGUUCGGAAUAACCCAGGGAGACUUGGGCUAAUACCGGAUACGUGCGAGAGCAGAAAGAUUUAUCGCUGAAGGAUCGGCCCGCGUCUGAUUAGCUAGUUGGUAGGGUAAUGGCCUACCAAGGCGACGAUCAGUAGCUGGUCUGAGAGGAUGAUCAGCCACAUUGGGACUGAGACACGGCCCAAACUCCUACGGGAGGCAGCAGUGGGGAAUAUUGGACAAUGGGCGCAAGCCUGAUCCAGCCAUGCCGCGUGAGUGAUGAAGGCCUUAGGGUUGUAAAGCUCUUUCGUCCGGGACGAUAAUGACGGUACCGGAAGAAGAAGCCCCGGCUAACUUCGUGCCAGCAGCCGCGGUAAUACGAAGGGGGCUAGCGUUGUUCGGAAUCACUGGGCGUAAAGGGCGCGUAGGCGGCUUGAUAAGUCGGGGGUGAAAGCCUGUGGCUCAACCACAGAAUUGCCUUCGAUACUGUCUGGCUUGAGACCGGAAGAGGUAAGUGGAACUGCGAGUGUAGAGGUGAAAUUCGUAGAUAUUCGCAAGAACACCAGUGGCGAAGGCGGCUUACUGGUCCGGUUCUGACGCUGAGGCGCGAAAGCGUGGGGAGCAAACAGGAUUAGAUACCCUAGUAGUCC
rnacentral:rRNA from 1 species